CUCACUAAAGCUUAGCAGGCCAGAGCCUGGUCAGUACCUUGGUGGGAGACCAUUUGUGAAAAGCUUGCUGCUGCAACUAGUUGUAGUCCAGCCAGCAAGAGGUGCUCAUUUCCUGGACUGAAUGGGUGCAAAAGUCCUUAUAUAAUUACUUUAGCUUGUGAAAAGGAGCAUCUUUCAGAUUAGGCAUUAAAGUGGCCUCAUGACAUUCUGUUUUCAUGAAUUCUCAAUUACGAUUUUUUUUUUUUUUAAAGUGGUAGCACAUUCUGAUGGCUUUAAGGCUGUUGUUGAAAAACCACUGUGACUUCUAAGAAUAAAAACUCACUGAUCUGCUACUAAGGAAACUUUAAGACAGAUAUAACUGGCAUUAUGCAGUAGCUAUAGGGAGCCAGUAGAGGGAGAUCAGUAUGAUCUGCUGAUAUAUGUGGUGCUGAAAUCUCACUCUGUCAGGGACUCUGACCAGGAUUCACAAUAAACAGCAUUCAAUGGUAAACAGAUAUGUAUGUGCGAUGAUUGAUAGGGCAGAAUGAUCAGGCUCCCCAAAACGUACAUUUAGAACUUAAUUUGCAUAUGAUGCUCAGUCAGUCAGUCAGUCAGUCAGUAAGUAUCNAUACAGUGUACAGUUUUUUUUUUUUUCAGGACUUACAGGGUAAGUUACAUUAACCAGUGAAAUUUUCUCUUUUACCCAGGUGUGAAUAAAAUGGCUCAGAGAGGAGGGACUCAGUGUUCUGACAUAAUAAUGUGUUUGACAGAGACUGUGCUUGGGAUGAUUCAGUCUGACUCUUCUCAGAGUAAACACAUAUACAGUGGAUCUUCAUUCAGUUAUUCUGUUCUAUGCCUCAGCAGCUGUUGUAUUUUGAAAUACUAUCAGUCCAGAUUGAACAGAUGUUGGUGCUGAUGAGGGUAAAAAAGCUACACUGUCCUGCAGUUAUUCCUCCUAUUGUUUAUGUAUGUCUUUAAAAAUCAGUGCAUUUUAGUAGUUGUGAUUUCAUAUUUUAUUAUCAUUUGAAACUAAAAAAAAAAAAAAAAAAAAAAAAGAAAGAAAGAAAGAAAAAAAGAAAUAUCCUUGUGAUUCUGGAUAUCUCCUCUGCUGCUGUAUCAGACUCCACUCUGUACUACUGUGUUCUGCGGCCCACAGUCACAGGAAACACAUCAACACUGUACACAAACCUUUCCUUAUUUAAUCCAGUAAGAACAAGCAAUAGAUAGAGAGUCAAAGAUUAAAAGAGAAUCUGUAAACAGAUGUGCAGAUGAAGUAAUAAACUGAAUAAGUGAAUGAAAAGAAAUUAACUG
ensembl:lncRNA